CCUACGGGUGGCAGCAGUGGGGAAUAUUGCACAAUGGGGGAAACCCUGAUGCAGCGACGCCGCGUGAGUGAAGAAGUAUUUCGGUAUGUAAAGCUCUAUCAGCAGGGAAGAAAUAGCGACCUUUGGGUCGCCAGACGGUACCUGAUGAAGAAGCCCCGGCUAACUACGUGCCAGCAGCCGCGGUAAUACGUAGGGGGCAAGCGGUAUCCGGAGUUACUGGGUGUAAAGGGGGCGUAGACGGCAGCGCAAGUCUGAAGUGAAAUGCCGGGGCUUAACCCCGGAACUGCUUUGGAAUUUGUGCAGCUAGUGUGCCGGAGAGGUAAGUGGAAUUCCUGGUGUAGCGGUGACAUGCGUAGAUAUUAGGAGGAACACCAGUGGCGAAGGCGGCUUACUGGACUGUAACUGACGUUGAGGCUCGAAAGCGUGGGGAGCAAACAGGAUUAGAUACCCUUGUAGUC
rnacentral:rRNA from 1 species